GAUGAACGCUGGCGGCGUGCUUAACACAUGCAAGUCGAACGAAGCAAUCUAACGGAAGUUUUCGGAUGGAAGCUGGAUUGACUGAGUGGCGGACGGGUGAGUAACGCGUGGGUAACCUGCCUCGCACUGGGGGACAACAGUUAGUAAUGACUGCUAAUACCGCAUAAGCGCACAGGACCUCAUGGUCUAGUGUGAAAAACUCCGGUGGUGUGGGAUGGACCCUGGUUUGAUUAGCUAGUUGGUGGGGUAACGGCCUACCAAGGCGACGAUCAAUAGCCGACCUGAGAGGGUGACCGGCCACAUUGGGACUGAGACACGGCCCAAACUCCUACGGGAGGCAGCAGUGGGGAAUAUUGCACAAUGGGGGAAACCCUGAUGCAGCGACGCCGCGUGAGUGAAGAAGUAUUUCGGUAUGUAAAGCUCUAUCAGAAGGGAAGAAAAUGACGGUACCUGACUAAGAAGCCCCGGCUAACUACGUGCCAGCAGCCGCCGUAA
rnacentral:rRNA from 1 species